GACGAACGCUGGCGGCGUGCUUAACACAUGCAAGUCGAACGGCAAGGCCCUGCUUUUGUUGGGUGCUCGAGUGGCGAACGGGUGAGUAACACGUGAGUAACCUGCCCUUGACUUUGGGAUAACUUCAGGAAACUGGGGCUAAUACCGGAUAGGAGCUCCUGCUGCAUGGUGGGGGUUGGAAAGUUUCGGCGGUUAGGGAUGGACUCGCGGCUUAUCAGCUUGUUGGUGGGGUAGUGGCUUACCAAGGCUUUGACGGGUAGCCGGCCUGAGCGGGUGACCGGCGACAUUGGGCCUGAGAUACGGCGCAGACGCCAACGGGAGGCAGCAGUGGGGAAUAUUGCACAAUGGGCGGACGCGUGAUGCAGAGGCGCCGCGUGCGGGAAGACGGCCUUCGGGGUGUAAACCGCUUUCGCCUGUGACGAAGCGUGAGUGACGGUAAUGGGUAAAGAAGCACCGGCUAACUACGUG
rnacentral:rRNA from 1 species